rnacentral:rRNA from 1 species
CCUACGGGGGGCUGCAGUGGGGAAUAUUGGACAAUGGGGGGAACCCUGAUCCAGCCAUGCCGCGUGUGUGAAGAAGGCCCUCGGGUUGUAAAGCACUUUCAGUGAGGAAGAACGCCUGGUGGUUAAUACCCAUCAGGAAAGACAUCACUCACAGAAGAAGCACCGGCUAACUCCGUGCCAGCAGCCGCGGUAAUACGGAGGGUGCGAGCGUUAAUCGGAAUUACUGGGCGUAAAGCGCGCGUAGGUGGCUUGAUAAGCCGGUUGUGAAAGCCCCGUGCUCAACCUGGGAACGGCAUCCGGAACUGUCAAGCUAGAGUGCAGGAGAGGAAGGUAGAAUUCCCGGUGUAGCGGUGAAAUGCGUAGAGAUCGGGAGGAAUACCAGUGGCGAAGGCGGCCUUCUGGACUGACACUGACACUGAGGUGCGAAAGCGUGGGUAGCAAACAGGAUUAGAUACCCGUGUAGUC